CUUAAAGUCUUAUUACAAGGAGUUCGAGCUUUUUAGUCUAAACGAAGUUGCGGUCGAGUCUAGCUGAGCUGGAUGCAUCCAUGUUGAGUAGUCGAGCCUAAGAAGUUUAUAUGCUUGCAACAACAUGAUGUAAAAUUAGUAAGAGUUAUAAUUUUAAAACUUUGUAUUUUCCAAUGGGAUUGUAUUUCAAGUUCUCCUAAGGGGUUUAAGAAUUACAAGUCGCAUCAAUCUAUAGAAGCAAAUCACC
rnacentral:lncRNA from 1 species